GGGUCAGUAGGUUGGUCGUGCCACCGGUACGUACUGGUCUCACUGAUUCCUCCUUCCUGAAGAACCGUAAUGCCAUUAAUUUGGUGUUGCGGGGAAACAGGACUGUUACUUUGAAAAAAUUAGAGUUUUUAAAGCAAGCUAACGCUUGAAUACAUUAGCAUGGAAUAAUGAAAUAGGACGAUCGAUCCUAUUUUGUUGGUUUCUAGGAUUGACGUAAUGAUUAAUAGGGAUAUUGGG
rnacentral:rRNA from 1 species